UUUUUAUAAGGAUAACUACGGAAAAGCUGUAGCUAAUACUUGCUUUAUUAUCCUUUGAUUUUUAUCUUUGGAUAAGUAUUUGUUAGGCCUUAUAAGAAAAAAGUUAUUAACUUAAGGAAUUAUAACAAAGAAGUAACACGUAAUAAAUUUAUUUUAUUUAGUGUGUAUCAAUCGAGUUUCUGACCUAUCAGCUUUUGAUGUUAGGGUAUUGGCCUAACAUGGCUAUGACGGGUA
rnacentral:rRNA from 1 species